rnacentral:rRNA from 1 species
CGCGAAUUGCCCUUCGGGGUGCCCAGGCGCGAAAACUUUACAAUGCUGGCAACAGCGAUAAGGGGACCUUGAGUGCCAGGAUACAAUCCUGGCUGUCGUGAUGCCUAAAAAGCAUUAUAUAGCAAGGGCCGGGCAAGACCGGUGCCAGCCGCCGCGGUAACACCGGCGGCUCGAGUGGUAACCGCUAUUAUUGGGUCUAAAGGGUCUGUAGCCGGCUUGGUUAGUCUCUUGGGAAAUCCGGCAGCUUAACUGUCGGGCUUUCAGGAGAUACUGCCAGGCUCGAGACCGGGAGAGGUGAGAGGUACUUCAUGGGUAGGGGUGAAAUCUUGUAAUCCUUGAAGGACCACCAGUGGCGAAGGCGUCUCACCAGAACGGAUCUGACGGCAAGGGACGAAAGCUAGGGGCACGAACCGGAUUAGAUACCCGGGUAGUCCUAGCCGUAAACGAUACUCGCUAGGUGUCGGCCACGGUGCGACCGUGGUCGGUGCCGUAGGGAAGCCGUGAAGCGAGCCACCUGGGAAGUACGGCCGCAAGGCUGAAACUUAAAGGAAUUGGCGGGGGAGCAC